rnacentral:misc_RNA from 1 species
UCUUCUUCUUCUUCUUUCUUUUUUUUUUUACCAAAAAUUACUUAGUUUAGAGAAAACAUGUGGUCCAAGUUAAUCAUACGCAUCUAUACAUAAUGUGAUAGUAAGAAUUUGGUUGAUUGAUUAGCAAUGAAGAUUUUUUUUUUCCCUAGUUUAUAAUGUCAGAAUUUAUAUAAGGCUUAUAAACAUUCCACUUUUAGAAUUUUUUCACAGCAUAAUUAGGACAAAAAUUCAAAAUCUUUCAUGAAUAAAAUUCUCAAAUGUCAUCAAUACAAUUGCUUAUCUUCAUUUAAUUCCUUUGUGAACUAAAUCAAAUCCUUUUCCAUUUUUUAAUUGACAACAAAGUAAUAUUGAUCCUGAUAUUAAUUGUCCUCUCUCUUGCACUCACACAAACAAACUCAUAUAGAUUUUGGAUACUGUGUCAAGAUGAAAAUAUUCAUGCAAUCAUUAGCCAACAAAAAGAAAAUUUUGACUUGAUUAAUACUGGAUCAG